rnacentral:rRNA from 1 species
UUGAACGCUGGCGGCAGGCCUAACACAUGCAGGUCGAGCGGAUGAAGGGAGCUUGCUCCUGGAUUCAGCGGCGGACGGGUGAGUAAUGCCUAGGAAUCUGCCUGGUAGUGGGGGAUAACGUCCGGAAACGGGCGCUAAUACCGCAUACGUCCUGAGGGAGAAAGUGGGGGAUCUUCGGACCUCACGCUAUCAGAUGAGCCUAGGUCGGAUUAGCUAGUUGGUGGGGUAAAGGCCUACCAAGGCGACGAUCCGUAACUGGUCUGAGGGGAUGAUCAGUCACACUGGAACUGAGACACGGUCCAGACUCCUACGGGAGGCAGCAGUGGGGAAUAUUGGACAAUGGGCGAAAGCCUGAUCCAGCCAUGCCGCGUGUGUGAAGAAGGUCUUCGGAUUGUAAAGCACUUUAAGUUGGGAGGAAGGGCAGUAAGUUAAUACCUUGCUGUUUUGACGUUACCAACAGAAUAAGCACCGGCUAACUUCGUG